rnacentral:rRNA from 1 species
CUUCCGUUAAUUGAUUAUGACGUACUUGUACUGAUUGAGAUUUUAACACGAAGUGAGUGGCGAACGGGUGAGUAACACGUGGGUAACCUGCCCAGAAGUAGGGGAUAACACCUGGAAACAGAUGCUAAUACCGUAUAACAGAGAAAACCGCAUGGUUUUCUUUUAAAAGAUGGCUCUGCUAUCACUUCUGGAUGGACCCGCGGCGUAUUAGCUAGUUGGUGAGGUAAAGGCUCACCAAGGCAGUGAUACGUAGCCGACCUGAGAGGGUAAUCGGCCACAUUGGGACUGAGACACGGCCCAGACUCCUACGGGAGGCAGCAGUAGGGAAUCUUCCACAAUGGACGCAAGUCUGAUGGAGCAACGCCGCGUGAGUGAAGAAGGGUUUCGGCUCGUAAAGCUCUGUUGUUAAAGAAGAACGUGGGUAAGAGUAACUGUUUACCCAGUGACGGUAUUUAACCAGAAAGCCACGGCUAACUACGUGCCAGCAGCCGCGGUAAUACGUAGGUGGCAAGCGUUAUCCGGAUUUAUUGGGCGUAAAGCGAGCGCAGGCGGUCUUUUAAGUCUAAUGUGAAAGCCUUCGGCUCAACCGAAGAAGUGCAUUGGAAACUGGGAGACUUGAGUGCAGAAGAGGACAGUGGAACUCCAUGUGUAGCGGUGAAAUGCGUAGAUAUAUGGAAGAACACCAGUGGCGAAGGCGGCUGUCUGGUCUGCAACUGACGCUGAGGCUCGAAAGCAUGGGUAGCGAACAGGAUUAGAUACCCUGGUAGUCCAUGCCGUAAACGAUGAUUACUAAGUGUUGGAGGGUUUCCGCCCUUCAGUGCUGCAGCUAACGCAUUAAGUAAUCCGCCUGGGGAGUACGACCGCAAGGUUGAAACUCAAAAGAAUUGACGGGGGCCCGCACAAGCGGUGGAGCAUGUGGUUUAAUUCGAAGCUACGCGAAGAACCUUACCAGGUCUUGACAUCUUCUGACAGUCUAAGAGAUUAGAGGUUCCCUUCGGGGACAGAAUGACAGGUGGUGCAUGGUUGUCGUCAGCUCGUGUCGUGAGAUGUUGGGUUAAGUCCCGCAACGAGCGCAACCCUUAUUACUAGUUGCCAGCAUUAAGUUGGGCACUCUAGUGAGACUGCCGGUGACAAACCGGAGGAAGGUGGGGACGACGUCAAAUCAUCAUGCCCCUUAUGACCUGGGCUACACACGUGCUACAAUGGAUGGUACAACGAGUCGCGAGACCGCGAGGUUAAGCUAAUCUCUUAAAACCAUUCUCAGUUCGGACUGUAGGCUGCAACUCGCCUACACGAAGUCGGAAUCGCUAGUAAUCGCGGAUCAGCAUGCCGCGGUGAAUACGUUCCCGGGCCUUGUACACACCGCCCGUCACACCAUGAGAGUUUGUAAC